UACAGAGGGUGCGAGCGUUAAUCGGAAUUACUGGGCGUAAAGCGCGCGUAGGCGGCUUUGCAAGUCGAGUGUGAAAUCCCCAGGCUCAACCUGGGAACUGCAUUCGAGACUGCAUAGCUAGAGUAUGGGAGAGGGGAAGUGGAAUUUUCAGGUGUAGCGGUGAAAUGCGUAGAUAUCUGAAGGAACAUCAGUGGCGAAAAGCGACUUCCUGGACCAAUACUGACGCUCAUGUGCGAAAAGCGUGGGGGAG
rnacentral:rRNA from 1 species